GAUGGGGGUGAAACCCGACCAGUACUCCAAGACGCGCAAGCAAGCGCCAAGCGGGGAACUCCGCGGGAAACCGGACCGGAACUCAAGUGUGCAGAGCUCUGCUUCGCUAGGAAUCCUUUCGCUCCAAAUGACCUACCUUUAAUGAGUGGGGGGUGCCCUCUAUUUAUAGGGAUUCUUAUGGGGGUAAUCUGGUCAUUUGGGCAGUAACCGCCUAACUGCCCAACUGAUCAGAUUGGGUCCAGG
rnacentral:lncRNA from 1 species